AUUCUAUUCAGCUAAUUUUUGCUUUUAACUUUUUCAAAAUGAAAACAUUGUAUGUAAGACUAUGUAUUGAUUGACUAUGAAAGUCAUUCAAAACUGUCAAUAUUAAAAUACAAGCUCUUAUUUCUGGUCUCCACACUACCAGGUGACACACACAGGCACCCAGGCACAGCCACUGCCAGCCUAGCUACUGCUGUCACAUCACUGAGAUCAGUAAGUGAUGCUGUGGUUACAAGUGUCUGAACAGCAUUAAAUGUCAGCCUAAAUGCAUAUAAGCAUUACACUUAUUACAGUUCACUAUACAACGAUAUUCUGUCUGCUUGUUUUCAAUACAGGUGCCUCUGCCAUCCAUCCCUGGACGUCACGUGCAUCGAUCAAGACACAUAAACAGAAGGCAUGUCAAAACAUACACUAAGGAAGUUGUGUGUUUGCCUUUUUCACUGGAGUCAUCACUCUGUCAUUCCCAGGGGAGAUUCUCGGAGUAGGUUAGCCUAAGCUGGCCUUAUUGGAAAAAUGUAAUUUUCUACUGAAUGGACUGAAGACCAAUUAAGAUGGGAAAUAACAGCUAUUUUCAGACGAGUAUUUGGGUAUCAGAACACCAGUUAUUACCGUUUCAGUUUUUGAGCACCAUCAAGGGGUGCAAAAAACUAAUGAAACCACAGGUCACCUCCAAUUUCCCCUGGGGUGGUAAAGAAGUUGCUUCCAUGUGCUCCAACCUUUGUAUGUACAUCAUGGCAGAAAUGGAAGCUCCAUCACAGAAUUUGCUUGUGGAACUCUCUGAUGACAGUGAUUUUGAAAGCCAAGCUCCACAACUAAGGAGAUCAAGACGGACAAAUGUAUCAUCCAUAUCUCAGAGGGAACAAUAUGAAAGGCAGGAGGGUGAGAAACCAGGCCUCAAGCUGACAUUGAGAUGGAAUUACAUGAACAGCGAGGACCAAAUCAAGCUACUACUCACUUCACAGAUUUUAUGUAUGAAUGUGUUUAUUCAGUUGUUGUUGGCCGUUUUAUGGUAUGGAAUUUAUUUUUACCUUUUAUAUAUUUUAGUCCUGUUUAUGUUGAUGAUGAAGAAGCCAUUGAGGAGGCCAUCAGACGCAGUCUUUCAGAAGAGGCAGGAUCUUCAUCCUUACAGGAUUCAAGGUAAUCUUACAUGGCAUAUAUAA
rnacentral:lncRNA from 1 species